UACGAACUGUGCAAACGUUAUUCGGAAUCACUGGGCUUAAAGGGUGCGUAGGCGGCCAAAUAAGUAGGGUGUGAAAGCCUCCGGCUUAACCGGAGAAUGGCGCUCUAAACUGUUUGGCUGGAGUGAGAUAGGGGUGUGUGGAACUUCCGGUGGAGCGGUGAAAUGUGUUGAUAUCGGAAGGAACGCCGGUGGCGAAAGCGACACACUGGAUCUCAACUGACGCUGAGGCACGAAAGCCAGGGGAGCAAACGGG
rnacentral:rRNA from 1 species